UACGUAGGGGGCGAGCGUUGUCCGGAAUCAUUGGGCGUAAAGCGCGUGUAGGCGGCUCGGUAAGUCUGCUGUGAAAGUCCAGGGCUCAACCCUGGAAUGCCGGUGGAAACUGUCGAGCUUGAGUCCGGAAGAGGCGAGUGGAAUUCCUGGUGUAGCGGUGAAAUGCGCAGAUAUCAGGAGGAACACCAAUGGCGAAGGCAGCUCGCUGGGACGGUACUGACGCUGAGACGCGAAAGCGUGGGGAGCAAACAGG
rnacentral:rRNA from 1 species